rnacentral:rRNA from 1 species
CCUACGGGUGGCAGCAGUGAGGAAUAUUGGUCAAUGGACGAGAGCCUGAACCAGCCAAGUAGCGUGAAGGAUGACUGCCCUACGGGUUGUAAACUUCUUUUAUAUGGGAAUAAAAUGUUCCACGUGUGGGAUUUUGUAUGUACCAUAUGAAUAAGGAUCGGCUAACUCCGUUCCAGCAGCCGCGGUAAUACGGAGGAUCCGAGCGAUAUCCGGAUUUAUUGGGUUUAAAGGGAGCGUAGGUGGAUUGUUAAGUCAGUUGUGAAAGUUUGCGGCUCAACCGUAAAAUUGCAGUUGAAACUGGCAGUCUUGAGGACAGUAGAGGUGGGCGGAAUGCGUGGUGUAGCGGUGAAAUGCUUAGAUAUCACGAAGAACUCCGAUUGCGAAGGCAGCUCACUGGACUGCAACUGACACUGAGGCUCGAAAGUGUGGGUAUCAAACAGGAUUAGAUACCCCAGUAGUC